rnacentral:rRNA from 1 species
GCGGCGUGCUUAACACAUGCAAGUCGAACGGAAAGGCCCUGCUUUUGUGGGGUGCUCGAGUGGCGAACGGGUGAGUAACACGUGAGUAACCUGCCCUUGACUUUGGGAUAACUUCAGGAAACUGGGGCUAAUACCGGAUAGGAGCUCCUGCUGCAUGGUGGGGGUUGGAAAGUUUCGGCGGUUGGGGAUGGACUCGCGGCUUAUCAGCUUGUUGGUGGGGUAGUGGCUUACCAAGGCUUUGACGGGUAGCCGGCCUGAGAGGGUGACCGGCCACAUUGGGACUGAGAUACGGCCCAGACUCCUACGGGAGGCAGCAGUGGGGAAUAUUGCACAAUGGGCGGAAGCCUGAUGCAGCAACGCCGCGUGCGGGAUGACGGCCUUCGGGUUGUAAACCGCUUUCGCCUGUGACGAAGCGUGAGUGACGGUAAUGGGUAAAGAAGCACCGGCUAACUACGUGCCAGCAGCCGCGGUGAUACGUAGGGUGCGAGCGUUGUCCGGAUUUAUUGGGCGUAAAGGGCUCGUAGGUGGUUGAUCGCGUCGGAAGUGUAAUCUUGGGGCUUAACCCUGAGCGUGCUUUCGAUACGGGUUGACUUGAGGAAGGUAGGGGAGAAUGGAAUUUCUGGUGGAGCGGUGGAAUGCGCAGAUAUCAGGAGGAACACCAGUGGCGAAGGCGGUUCUCUGGGCCUUUCCUGACGCUGAGGAGCGAAAGCGUGGGGAGCGAACAGGCUUAGAUACCCUGGUAGUCCACGCUGUAAACGGUGGGUACUAGGUGUGGGGUCCAUUCCACGGGUUCCGUGCCGUAGCUAACGCUUUAAGUACCCCGCCUGGGGAGUACGGCCGCAAGGCUAAAACUCAAAGGAAUUGACGGGGCCCCGCACAAGCGGCGGAGCAUGCGGAUUAAUUCGAUGCAACGCGUAGAACCUUACCUGGGUUUGACAUGGAUCGGGAGUGCUCAGAGAUGGGUGUGCCUCUUUUGGGGUCGGUUCACAGGUGGUGCAUGGCUGUCGUCAGCUCGUGUCGUGAGAUGUUGGGUUAAGUCCCGCAACGAGCGCAACCCUUGUUCACUGUUGCCAGCACGUUAUGGUGGGGACUCAGUGGAGACCGCCGGGGUCAACUCGGAGGAAGGUGGGGAUGACGUCAAGUCAUCAUGCCCCUUAUGUCCAGGGCUUCACGCAUGCUACAAUGGCUGGUACAGAGAGUGGCGAGCCUGUGAGGGUGAGCGAAUCUCGGAAAGCCGGUCUCAGUUCGGAUUGGGGUCUGCAACUCGACCUCAUGAAGUCGGAGUCGCUAGUAAUCGCAGAUCAGCAACGCUGCGGUGAAUACGUUCCCGGGGCUUGUACACACCGCCCGUCAAGUCAUGAAAGUUGGUAACACCCGAAGCCGGUGGCCUAACCGUUGUGGGGGAGCCGUCGAAGGUGGGACUGGUGAUUAGGACU